UUCCUUGCUGCCAGUGUCCUAGUGUUUUAGCCAACAUCCUCCUUGGCUCUCUAUUUGUGUGAUGUGACCUACAGUACCUUGCUGCCAGCCUGUCAAUGCCAUGACAGUUUUCACCGCCUAUGA